GCGGAGCACGGAGGACGGGGCCGGGCGACCUGGGCACCAGCAGGACCCGAGGCCAGGAGCCAGGGGCCCAGAAGGAGAAAGCAGCCUUCAAGGUCCCAGCACCCCCAAACCCACGAGCUCACACAAAACAACGCGAGCCACAAAUGCAAGCCACAUCUGUCAUUUAACACCUUCUAAUAGCCACAUUUUCAGAAAGUGAAAAUAAGCGGAUUGAGCUUCUAGAGCCUCAGAGAUGGAAUUCGCCGUUUUGCCGCGAUUUGGCGUUAACUUAUUGACCCAUGGGGAGGAGGGUCACUUCCCGUGAAAAGAAGGCAGAGAUGUUUUGCUGUGCCCAGUGUGAGGAAGCGAAGGAAAAGAAAGAUCUUUUGAAAAUGUGUACAUCUACUUGCAGCUUGAAAAUUCCAAGUGCCAGACAUUUUUCUUGGAGGAAAUAAAUGUCUUCAAUUUAUUCAUCUU
rnacentral:lncRNA from 1 species